rnacentral:rRNA from 1 species
CAAAUCGGUCUUAGUACUAUAGAAUAAUAAUGUAACACAUAUUACGUUUAUAGUGUUGGUUAGGGGUGAAAAGCUUCCAAUUCUUUAAUAUCUGGAUUUAUGUGAAAUAUAUUUAGUAUAAGAUCAAUAUCCUAAUUUAAAAAUGUUAAGAUUUUUAAUAUAAUUAAAUUUAUUAGAUCUAGUAUGAUUUGUGUUAACCCUCCAAUUAAAUUGACAUUAACAAUUAAAUUAAAAUUUAUUAAUUUUUAUAACAUAAAAAUUUUUUGAAUUAUUAAUUAAUUAUAUAAUGUUUGAAUUAGUAGAAACAAUAAAUUAAUAAAAGUAACUCGGCAACUAGAUUUACCGUCUGUUUAACAAAAACAUAGCUUAACGUUAAAAAAUUUAUGUUAGGUCGUUCCUGCCCGGUGAAAUUUUAACGGCCGCAGUACCCUGACUGUGCUAAGGUAGCAUAAUAAAUUGGCUUUUAAAUGAAGUCUAGAAUCAAAGGAUUGUCGGAUAAUAACUGUCUCUUUAUAAUUAUUUCUAAGUUAAUAAAAAGGUGAAAAUGCCUUUAAUAAAUUUAAUAGACAAGAAGACCCUAAGAAUUUUUAUAAUAUAAGUUAUUUAAUAAUUUAAUGAUUUUUGUUGGGGCGACAAGGUAACAUCAAACUUACCUAGCUAUUUAGUAACAAGUCAGUUAUUAAAAGAAAGAUAAAAUUACCUUAGGGAUAACAGCAUAAUAUUUUUUUGUUUGUGACCUCGAUGUUGGAUUAGGGAAAGUAAUAACUAGCAGUUAUUAUAUUUGGUUCUGUUCGAACCCAUUUAUACCUACAUGAUCUGAGUUCAGACCGGUGUAAGCCAGGUCAG